GCCUCGGUAGCUCAGUGGCAGAGCGCCUGCAUGGUAAGCAGGAGGUUGCGAGUCCGAUUCUCGUCCGAGGCU
rnacentral:tRNA from 1 species